UUAGUUGAAACCAAAAAGAGGUAUAUUAUUGUUAAUAAUAUAAUUGAAUUUAAUAUUCCAGCUAAG
rnacentral:tRNA from 1 species